rnacentral:rRNA from 1 species
UAGCGUAGGGUGCGAGCGUUAAUCGGAAUUACUGGGCGUAAAGCGUGCGUCAGGCGGUUUUGUAAGCCAGAUGAUCGGAAAUCCCCGGGCUUAACCUGGGAAUUGGCAUUUGGGACUGCAAGGCUUGAGUUUGGCAGAGGAGACUGGAAUUCCUGGUGUAGACAGUGAAAUGCGUAGAUAUCAGGAGGAAUACCGAUGGCGAAGGCAGGUCGUCUGGGCUAGAACUGACGCUCAUGACACGAAAGGCGUGGGGAAGCAAACAGGAUUAG